UGGGGAAUUUUGGACAAUGGGCGAAAGCCUGAUCCAGCAAUGCCGCGUGUGUGAAGAAGGCCUUCGGGUUGUAAAGCACUUUUGUCCGGAAAGAAAUCCUUGGCUCUAAUACAGUCGGGGGAUGACGGUACCGGAAGAAUAAGCACCGGCUAACUACGUGCCAGCAGCCGCGGUAAUACGUAGGGUGCAAGCGUUAAUCGGAAUUACUGGGCGUAAAGCGUGCGCAGGCGGUUUGCUAAGACCGAUGUGAAAUCCCCGGGCUCAACCUGGGAACUGCAUUGGUGACUGGCAGGCUAGAGUAUGGCAGAGGGGGGUAGAAUUCCACGUGUAGCAGUGAAAUGCGUAGAGAUGUGGAGGAAUACCGAUGGCGAAGGCAGCCCCCUAGGCCAAUACUGACGCUCAUGCACGAAAGCGUGGGGAGCAAACAGGGUUAGAUACCCUGGUAGUCCACGCCCUAAACGAUGUCAACUAGUUGUUGGGGAUUCAUUUCCUAGUAACGUAGCUAACGCGUGAAGUUGACCGCCUGGGGAGUACGGUCGCAAGAUU
rnacentral:rRNA from 1 species